GACGAACGCUGGCGGCGUGCUUAACACAUGCAAGUCGAACGGAAAGGCCCUGCUUUUGUGGGGUGCUCGAGUGGCGAACGGGUGAGUAACACGUGAGUAACCUGCCCUUGACUUUGGGAUAACUUCAGGAAACUGGGGCUAAUACCGGAUAGGAGCUCCUGCCGCAUGGUGGGGGUUGGAAAGUUUCGGCGGUUGGGGAUGGACUCGCGGCUUAUCAGCUUGUUGAUGGGGUAGUGGCUUACCAAGGCUUUGACGGGUAGCCGGCCUGAGAGGGUGACCGGCCACAUUGGGACUGAGAUACGGCCCAGACUCCUACGGGAGGCAGCAGUGGGGAAUAUUGCACAAUGGGCGGAAGCCUGAUGCAGCAACGCCGCGUGCGGGAUGACGGCCUUCGGGUUGUAAACCGCUUUCGCCUGUGACGAAGCGUGAGUGACGGUAAUGGGUAAAGAAGCACCGGCUAACUACGUG
rnacentral:rRNA from 1 species